rnacentral:rRNA from 1 species
GACAGAGGGUGCAAACGUUGUUCGGAAUUACUGGGCGUAAAGCGCGUGUAGGCUGCCCUGCAAGUCGGAUGUGAAAGCCCUGGGCUCAACCUAGGAAGUGCACUCGAAACUGCAGGGCUGGAGUCCUGGAGAGGAAGGCGGAAUUCUCGGUGUAGAGGUGAAAUUCGUAGAUAUCGGGAGGAACACCAGUGGCGAAGGCGACUACCUGGCCUGUUCUUGACGCUGAGGCGCGAAAGCUAGGGGAGCAAACGGG